CCCAGCCUUCUGUCCUUUUCUCGUAGCCUCGAUCAAGCCUAGUGACAGAAAAGACAAUGCAUUCCACGGAUCAUAGUCGAAGUUGAGUAACAGAGAGUACUGCCCGAGCUUUCUUUCCCACGUCUCUCCUGCUGUGGGACUCCAUGUCUCAGUUUUUGUUUGUGGAUUUGUGGGAGUAUCAUUCGGAACUUCUAGGCAGAGUUUCCACACUAUUCCAAACCUACGAGGCCUAAUAAAUAUCUUCAUAAGGUAUAUCAGAACUAAAUUGGCAAGCAGAAGAAUGGUAAUCCCACGAAUAACAUCAGCUCCAAAGAAUCUGUGUUCCAAGUUGGUACGUAUGAUGGUAGUGCCUGCUAAAUGCUCCAGAAAUGCUGUUCCAAACAAUAAUUGUUGAUAUAGCAGUUAUUGACAAGAAGAAAGUAUGUGCGACUGAU
rnacentral:lncRNA from 1 species